rnacentral:tRNA from 1 species
GGUGACUCAAUGGUAGAGCACUUGCCUUGCAUGCAUGAAGCCCUGGGUUCGAUUCCUCAGCACCA